rnacentral:rRNA from 1 species
UUAAUAUUACAACUUUCAACAACGGAUCUCUUGGUUCUGGCAUCGAUGAAGAACGCAGCGAAAUGCGAUAAGUAGUGUGAAUUGCAGAAUUCAGUGAAUCAUCGAAUCUUUGAACGCACAUUGCCCCCCCUUGGUAUUCCAUGGGGCAUGCCUGUUCGAG